CCGAGUAAGGGUGCUCCCUCUGGGACCCCGACCUCCCAACCCUGUGUUUAUACCGACCACUGUUGCUUCGGCGUUCCGCCUCCGCCUUUCGUUAGGCGGUGGGCGCCGGGGGAGAGAGAUCUCCCUUGGAGAGUUGUCCGCCGACGGCCACCAAACAAACCUUCUUUGAAAACCACCUUCUGAAACAUGUCUAGUUAUUUAAUUAACAAAACA
rnacentral:misc_RNA from 1 species